rnacentral:lncRNA from 1 species
AUGCAGACCUCCUUAGAGAGGAUAACAGAGGCCCACCUUACCUUAUCUUAUGAUAUCAACAAAUUCCCUUCGCUGGGAGGGGAAGCGUCAAGAAAGAGCCUGAUUUCAAGGCCUUCUCCAGGGGGUGGGGGGUCCGUGAGCAAACCUGAGGCGGGAGAACAGUAUCCCUCCGGAAGGGCUUUCUUCAAGGGGAGGUGCCCGUUCUGGCUGAAGAGGAAAGGGGCCGCCAAUCCGCCUCAGGUGGCCCCCAAGAGCCGCCUCUGCAUGGAGGCCACUCACGAGAGCCCCAUCCAGGCCGUCCGGAAGCCGGCCACGCGGGAAGAUGCCCAAGGGCCGGACUCUGACGAGGAAUCUGUGCGAGGGAAAACAGGCACCUCUCUCCUCAGGAAACUCCUGUGCCUGAAAACGCCCAGCGGCCCAGAGGCAUCACCGGCCCAGAGGGCGAGAGUCCGGUGCGGGCCUGUGGCCGCUCUCAGCAGAACCGCCGACCCACACGGGGAGUCUCCUCUGAAGUGGAAGCCCAGGGCUAAGGCCCCGAUCCCAGCAGAGGCCAGCUCCAUCGCAGAGACGGCGGCGGCCGAUCCGGUGGACAGGCUUGUUGGCUGGUGGGUGACGAAGCCAUGGAGAGCUUUCAGGGCCAUGCUGAGAUCCAGAGCCAAGAAAAGGUCGGUUCUCCCAGAGAGCAAGAGAAGUCCCAAGGUGGUGGAAGAACGGGAUAUUCGCCUCGCUACAGAGCCUGAAACCUCGCCCAUCGCCAGGGUGGACGGAUCCCCCCGUUUUUCGGCCACGGAGGACAAAACUCUUGCAUCCGACAUGGGUGAAACUCAAGAGGAGGAUGAAGGCGAGCACCUGAGUUCCAGGUGUGGGCUGGAGAUCCAUGGGCGGGCAGAGGACGAUAUUUCGGACCCCGCGACUGAACGGGAAGUGGACGAGCUCUGCACUUUCUUGAGCGAGGGAAGGCGGCUUCGGGAAGAGAGUCGAGGCCUCAGGGGCGUUUUCGAGUGGAGAGGAACUUGCCACCUUCCUGGGGGGGACGGAGUAGAGGCGGAAGACGUCGCAGACCAGGCCCCUGAGCUGGGAGACUACAGGUACUGGGCUGGGGCGUCGGACGGAGAGGAACAGGCUCUCGCCGAUCUCGCCGAAAACCCAGGCGGGCAGGGCAUGCUGAUGGCGACGAGAGAUCUGGGCUGGCUAAACAGUGAGUUGCUGGCAAGCCCAGUGCUUGUGCCAAAGGAAAAGCGGGGAAGGGAGGUUUCCGCCACAAGCAAUCCCGAAAGCAGAGAGAAUGGGCGUGUGGCAGGCGCCAGCAGAGAGACCCAACACAUCCACCAGGAAGUGCUGCAUCUUAGCAGCGGCUUGGAUCCUCCGCCAGCCUCGCCACCUGGCAGAAGCGAUCCUCUGGAAGCAGACCCUUAUGACGCUCCCAAGGCCCACAUCGUGGAGGAAGAAAGAGCGCCAUCUCCUGACUUCCCACAGACCCUGCUGACCCUGCUGGAGCCACCUCCCUCCUUUCCAUCCGGAGGCCAAGGCCUUCAGGAGGGGCCACCCCCAUUAAGGCCCUGCCAGGCUCUUGCCGAGGACGGAGGAAGGGAAGUUUGCCAAAGGAGAGGGAGCUCCGGGCGGAAACUGCCAUCGCCCACGGAGGAAACCGCGGCAGAGCCGGGAGAGGAGGACGACAAGCAGCGGCUCUACCAGGCUGCGGUGGAGAUUGUGGGCGCUGCCAUCGACGCCGCAGCAGAGCAGCUGGCAAAGGCGGCCGAGCGGGAGCAAGGGGAGCUGGGGUCCAGGAGAGAAGUUCCUUGA